rnacentral:rRNA from 1 species
CGCUGGCGGCGUGCUUAACACAUGCAAGUCGAACGCGAAAGGGACCUCGGUCCUGAGUAGAGUGGCGCACGGGUGAGUAACGCGUAAGUUAUCUACCCCUCCAUCUGGAAUAACUCACCGAAAGGUGUGCUAAUACCGGAUACGUUGGAAACAGAAAGGUGGCCUCUUCUAUGCUACCGUGGAGGGAUGAGCUUGCGUACCAUUAGCUAGUUGGUAGGGUAAUGGCCUACCAAGGCAACGAUGGUUAGCGGGUCUGAGAGGAUGAUCCGCCACACUGGAACUGGAACACGGACCAGACUCCUACGGGAGGCAGCAGUGAGGAAUAUUGCGCAAUGGGGGAAACCCUGACGCAGCGACGCCGCGUGGAUGAUGAAGGCCUUUGGGUCGUAAAAUCCUGUCAGAUGGAAAGAAAUGUACAUGUGCUAAUAUCACUUGUAUUUGACGGUACCAUCAAAGGAAGCACCGGCUAACUCCGUG